rnacentral:lncRNA from 1 species
UCCCAGAAGGGAAUGUUCACCUUGGUUGCAAUGCCUCAUCUCUCCGCUCAGAGCUUCACCUCAAAUACAGAAAGCACAAAGGGUUACUGUGUGGGCCACUGCCCAUGAGGCAGCCAGAGCAGAAAUCACCAGUAAUAUGAGACUGUUGGAUGCUCCACAGCCACUAGCUUAGUCAUUGUUUAAAUCAGAAGUUGGCACUUUGUUCUGAGCAGAGACCAAUACCUGGAUGUUCAAGUUGUACUGAAACCCAUGGCAGGGACACAACCUCUGAGAAGUGGACACUGGGCCAUCCUUGAUCCCUGUGGCUGAUCAGCCUGAGACCUCAGGAACUCAUGAACUCACUGGGAACACAGAUUUUCUCUUCUGAUCAACAAGGAGUUCCAGAAGCAUAAUUCUGCAAGGACCAAAGCCAGAGGCGAGGAUGAGCAAGACACAGCUCAUUUCAUGAAAUGGAGUCCAUCCACCGAGCUGUCUGCAUGUCUGGAAGGGGACUGUCCAUCCACCAGGCUGUCUGCAUGUCUGGAAGGGAGCUCCAGGGAUGUAACUUUCAUAGAUCAUCACAUGUGC